AACGGUAACAGGUCCUUCGGGAUGCUGACGAGUGGCGGACGGGUGCGUAACGCGUGGGAAUCUNNCCAGNAGUGGGGGAUAACCCGGGGAAACUCGGGCUAAUACCGCAUAAUCCCCAAGGGGAAAAGCGGGGGAUCUUCGGACCUCGCGCUAUUGGAUGAGCCCGCGUCCGAUUAGCUAGUUGGUGGGGUAAAGGCCUACCAAGGCGACGAUCGGUAGCUGGUCUGAGAGGACGACCAGCCACACUGGGACUGAGACACGGCCCAGACUCCUACGGGAGGCAGCAGUGGGGAAUAUUGGACAAUGGGGGAAACCCUGAUCCAGCAAUGCCGCGUGUGUGAANANGGCCUGCGGGUUGUAAAGCACUUUCGGCAGGGAAGAAAAGUCGUACGUUAAUACCGUACGGCCUUGACGUUACCUGCAAAAGAAGCACCGGCUAACUCCGUGCCAGCAGCCGCGGUAAU
rnacentral:rRNA from 1 species